rnacentral:ncRNA from 2 species
UGAUACUUGUCGGAGUGCCUUUAGGCUGAGACCGUUCAUUCGGGAUCCGUUGAACCUGAUCUGGUUAAUACCAGCGAAGGGAACAAGAGAAAGCGUUCA